UAAAUAAUAUAGAAUAAAUAAAUAAAUAGUUUUAUAAAUAUCAGAAAGCUUAAUAUAAACAAAACAUACAAUUUAAAAAUUUCAUGUCAUGAUAAAAACAAAUUUAUUAAAAAACUAUAAUAAAAAAAUUAAAAACACUAUUCAUAAUAAAAAUAAUUUGUUUUAAAUUAUAAAUUAUUAACUUUAAAUAUAAUUUCAAAACCAUUUAUUUAU
rnacentral:tRNA from 1 species